AUGGGAUUGCAAGAGAGGAAAAACCGGCACCUUCUUGAAGUUGCACGAGCACUACUCUUCUCUACCAAUGUUUCUAAAUAUUUAAGGGGUGAAACUGUCUUGACAGUUGCACAUUUAAUAAACCAUAUGUCAUCCCGUGUUUUGAAAUUUGAAACUCCUUUGCAAAGUUUCUUGAAAUAUUUUCCAAUUGCUUCAGUUCUAUUUGAUUUACCACUUAAAAUAUUUGGAUGCACUGCUUUUGUUCACGAACACAGGCAUCUUGGUAAAUGA